ensembl:lncRNA
GGGGGUACCAGUAAUGAGUAAUGAUAACAUGGCUUUAUACUGGGGGUCCCAGUACUGAGUAAUGAUAACAUGGCUUUAUACAGGGGUACCAGUACUGAGUAAUGAUAACAUGGCUUUAUACAGGGUACCAGUACUGAGUAAUGAUAACAUGGCUUUAUACAGGGGGUACCAGUACUGAGUAAUGAUAACAUGGCUUUAUACAGGGGUACCAGUACUGAGUAAUGAUAACAUGGCUUUAUACAGGGGUACCAGUACUGAGUAAUGAUAACAUGGCUUUAUACACAGGGUACCAGUACUGAGUAAUGAUAACAUGGCUUUAUACACAGGGUACCAGUACUGAGUAAUGAUAACAUGGCUUUAUACAGGGGGUACCAGUAAUGAGUAAUGAUAACAUGGCUUUAUACACAGGGUACCAGUACUGAGUAAUGAUAACAUGGCUUUAUAC